rnacentral:rRNA from 1 species
CGGGGUGCAGCAGGCGCGAAAACUUUACAAUGCCGGCAACGGCGAUAAGGGAACCUCGAGUGCCAGGUUACAAAUCUGGCUGUCGUGAUGCCUAAAAAGCAUUGCAUAGCAAGGGCCGGGCGAGACCGGUGCCAGCCGCCGCGGUAACACCGGCGGCUCGAGUGGUAACCGUUAUUAUUGGGUCUAAAGGGUCUGUAGCCGGCCGGGUAGGUCUCUUGGGAAAUCUGGCAGCUUAACUGUCAGGCUUUCAGGAGAUACUGCCUGGCUCGAGGCCGGGAGAGGUGAGAGGUACUUCAGGGGUAGGGGUGAAAUCUUGUAAUCCUUGAAGGACCACCAGUGGCGAAGGAGUCUCACCAGAACGGACCUGACGGCAAGGGACGAAAGCUAGGGGCACGAACCGGAUUAGAUACCCGGGUAGUCCUAGCCGUAAACGAUACUCGCUAGGUGUCGGCCACGGUGCGACCGUGGUCGGUGCCGUAGGGAAGCCGUAAAGCGAGCUACCUGGGAAGUACGGCCGCAAGGCUGAAACUUAAAGGAAUUGGCGGGGGAGCAC